UACGAAGGGGGGCUAGCGUUGUUCGGAAUUACUGGGCGUAAAGCGCGCGUAGGCGGUGAUCCAUGUCAGAGGUGAAAUCCUGGGGCUCAACUCCAGAAUUGCCUUUGAAACGGGAUCGCUAGAGUCCGAGAGAGGAUGGCGGAAUUCCUAGUGUAGAGGUGAAAUUCGUAGAUAUUAGGAAGAACACCGGUGGCGAAGGCGGCCAUCUGGCUCGGUACUGACGCUCAGGCGCGAAAGCGUGGGGAGCGAACAGG
rnacentral:rRNA from 1 species